rnacentral:lncRNA from 1 species
CAAAUAUCACAAAGCCCUCAGAUUCCGAGGACUGUGUGAUUCAAAUAAAUAUGCAUAAAUCACAACUUCUUGUGAUUUGAAGAUUGAGAUCAUAUCUCAACCGUAAAAGAGAUCAGAUCUCUUACCUUUAGAAGGGGGUUCCUUCAAGGAUGCUUCGCAGCCGCACAAGCGUCCGGCCUCGAUGACUCAUCCAUGCGAAGCUCCGGAAUGAUCAGCUUUCCGGAGAGUGCUAGCUCGCAGGGAGGCAGAAGGUUGACUGAAAGGGAGAAGAAGGAAGAAGAUGGACCUUCACAGCUCAAGAACUCCUUCUUGGGCUUUCACCUUCAGAGCUACUCUCUCCUCUCACUCUCUUUCUCUAGUGCUCUUGAUC